rnacentral:rRNA from 1 species
GACGAACGCUGGCGGCGUGCUUAACACAUGCAAGUCGAACGGUGAAGCGCCUUCCUUUUUGGUGGGUGUGGAUGAGCGGCGAACGGGUGAGUAACACGUGAGUAACCUGCCCCCUUCUUCUGGAUAACCGCAUGAAAGUGUGGCUAAUACGGGAUAUUCUGGGUCUGUCGCAUGAUGGGUCUGGGAAAGAUAUUGUUUCGGUGGGGGAUGGGCUCGCGGCCUAUCAGCUUGUUGGUGGGGUGAUGGCCUACCAAGGCGGUGACGGGUAGCCGGCCUGAGAGGGUGGACGGUCGCACUGGGACUGAGACACGGCCCAGACUCCUACGGGAGGCAGCAGUGGGGAAUAGUGCACAAUGGGCGCAAGCCUGAUGCAGCGACGCCGCGUGAGGGAUGGAGGCCUUCGGGUUGUGAACCUCUUUCGCCAGUGAAGCAGGCCUGCCUCGUUUGUGGGUGGGUUGACGGUAGCUGGAUAAGAAGCGCCGGCUAACUACGUG